UUCCGGUUGAUCCUGCCGGAGGCCACUGCUAUUGGGAUCCGACUAAGCCAUGCGAGUCGAGAGGGUUCGGCCCUCGGCAGACUGCUCAGUAACACGUGGAUAACCUAACCUUAGGUGGAAGAUAACCUCGGGAAACUGAGAAUAAUACUCCAUAGAUCUAGGAUGCUGGAAUGCGCCUAGAUUGAAAGCUCUGGCGCCUAAGGAUGGGUCUGCGGACUAUCAGGUUGUAGUCAGGGUAAAGACCUGACUAGCCUACGACGGAUAUGGGUUGUGAGAGCAAUAGCCCAGAGACGAUAUCUGAGACACGAUAUCGGGCCCUACGGGGCGCAGCAGGCGCGAAAUCUUCACAAUGUGCGAAAGCACGAUGAGGGGAUCCCAAGUGCUGGCACGUAAGUGUCAGCUGUUUCUUUGUCUAAAAAACAAAGAGAGUAAGAGCUGGGUAAGACGGGUGCCAGCCGCCGCGGUAAUACCUGCAGCUCAAGUGGUGGCCGCUAUUAUUGGGCCUAAAACGUCCGUAGCCGGUUUAGUAAAUGCUUGGGUAAAUUGUGUAGCUUAACUAUACGAAUACCGGGUAGACUGCUAAACUUGGGACCGGGAGAGGCUAGAGGUACUCCUAGGGUAGAGGUGACAUUCUGUAAUCCUAGGGGGACCACCAGUGGCUAAGGCGUCUAGCUAGAACGGGUCUGACGGUGAAGGACGAAGCCCUGGGGCGCAAAUCGGAUUAGAUACCCGGGUACUCCAGGGUGUAACGCUGCUUGCUUGAUGUUAGUUGGCCUCCGAGCCAAACUAGUGUCGGAUAAAAAUUGCUAAGCAAGCUGCUUGGGAUGCACGACAGCAACAAUCAAACUCACAGGAAUUGGCGG
rnacentral:rRNA from 1 species